UCUUCUUUGAGAGACUUCUAUCAAAUUCAGGUAAGUUCGUGAUACACCGUCCUUUUCCACUAAACUUUUGUACACAAUAUUUUUUUUGUUCGAGGUCUAGAUAAGAUAUGAAUUGUUUAAAUCUGAAUAAUAGAAAACGCAAUUUUUUCACAAGAUAUGAAAUAUGCUCAUUCCAUCUCAAGUGUGAAUCUAGAAAUAUACCCAAUUUUGUUUCUUCACAGGUUCAAUUUUCAAAUCUUGUUGAAUGAUUAAGUUAUAGUGGGGAAGACAAGUUUCAAGACUACUGAACGGCUCCAUCUCUGAUGCCAAUGUCAUGCAGAAUAGCCGGAAGAAGACAGCAGUGGCGAACGUAGCAUCAACAGUUAUAACAUUAGAUCAGUUAUACAUAGACAAUCUACAAUGGGAUAUGAUUUUCUGAUACAGGGUGUUGCAAUUUCUUGCUACUCGAGAAAGAAACCUACCCGACCGUCGCACUUUCUACAACUGAGGCGGAAUAUAUGUCGCUUGCUGCUGCUGUACAGGAAGGAAUGUGAUUGAUAGAUCUAUUGAAUGAUUUGCUCAUAGACACUGGCCAAUAUAUCAUCAUCAAUGGGGACAACAAAAGUUCACUGCAGUUAGCAAUGACGCCUCCUGGUUAUCACGUUCGUACAAAGCAUAUUGAUGUGAGGCAUCAUUUCGUACGCGAGCAGAUUCAAAAAGACAGAAAUUACCUGAACUAUGUCGACACUAAUUCGAUGUUAGCAGAUAUGUUGACCAAAACUGUUAAUUCUAGGAAACAUUUGUUUUGUAGCAAAAAUAUAGGUCUACAGGAAAUUUAGUUCUAGGGGGAGUGUCAGAAUUGAGUACCUGAUUGUUGUUGUUUAUAGUUUUGUUUUAUGAGAAGUGUCAAAAAUAAAUGACUUGAGGAUUGUCUUUCAUCAUUCUUCUCAAAUAUUCGAAUCGACGAAUUCUCAUCCAUCCACUUGAACAGUAUAUUUCAUCAAAACCAAAAAAAAGACCAAAUCCGAUUUUGUCAGACGCAGCGAGCGACUCAG